rnacentral:misc_RNA from 1 species
AAACCCUCACCCUGGUGACAUUAAGUUGUCGCUUGUGGUGGACUUGGAUUGUGCCGUAGUUGGCUCGUCCUUAAAUGCAUUAGCUUGUGCCAGUUAGAGUGCUUGGUGCGGUGUGAUAAUUAUCUACGCCGUUGCUUCAUGCCUCUUCUUGUGGUGCUGCUUCCAAACCGUCCCUCUGGGACAAUGCAAAUGCCCAAAGCU